rnacentral:rRNA from 1 species
CCCUUAGACGUUCUGGGCCGCACGCGCGCUACACUGACGAAGGCAACGAGCUUUCCUUUACCGAAAGGUACGGGUAAUCUUUUGAAACUUCGUCGUGCUGGGGAUAGAUCCUUGCAAUUUUUGAUCUUAAACGAGGAAUGCCUAGUAAGCGCAAGUCAUCAACUUGCGUUGAUUACGUCCCUGCCCUUUGUACACACCGCCCGUCGCUCCUACCGAUUGAAUGGUCCGGUGAAGCGUUCGGACCGUGGCCUUUGGACGGUUCGCCGUCUGUUGGCUGCGGGAAGUUCGUUAAACCUUAUCAUUUAGAGGAAGGAGAAGUCGUAACA